rnacentral:rRNA from 1 species
CCUACGGGAGGCAGCAGUGAGGAAUAUUGGUCAAUGGACGCAAGUCUGAACCAGCCAUGCCGCGUGCAGGAAGACGGCUCUAUGAGUUGUAAACUGCUUUUGUACGAGGGUAAACGCAGAUACGCGUAUCUGUCUGAAAGUAUCGUACGAAUAAGGAUCGGCUAACUCCGUGCCAGCAGCCGCGGUAAUACGGAGGAUUCAAGCGUUAUCCGGAUUUAUUGGGUUUAAAGGGUGCGUAGGCGGUCGGAUAAGUUAGAGGUGAAAUCCCGAGGCUCAACUUCGGAAUUGCCUCUGAUACUGUUAGGCUAGAGAGUAGUUGCGGUAGGCGGAAUGUAUGGUGUAGCGGUGAAAUGCUUAGAGAUCAUACAGAACACCGAUUGCGAAGGCUGCUUACCAAGCUACGUCUGACGUUGAGGCACGAAAGCGUGGGGAGCAAACAGGAUUAGAUACCCUAGUAGUC